GUGCAGCAGUCGAGAAACUUCACAAUGUGCGAAAGCACGAUGAGGGAAUCCCAAGUGCUUGCUCGUAAGAGUAAGCUGUUUCUCUGUCUAAAACGCAGAGAGAGUAAGGGCUGGGUAAGACGGGUGCCAGCCGCCGCGGUAAUACCUGCAGCUCGAGUGGUGGCCGCUAUUAUUGGGCCUAAAACGUCCGUAGCCGGUUUACUAAAUGCCUGGGUAAAUCGGACCGCUUAACGGUUCGAAUUCCGGGUAGACUGAUAAACUUGAGACCGGGAGAAGCUAGAGGUACUCCUGGGGUAGAGGUGAAAUUCUGUAAUCCUAGGGGGACCACCAGUGGCGAAGGCGUCUAGCUAGAACGGGUCUGACGGUGAGGGACGAAGCCCUGGGGCGC
rnacentral:rRNA from 1 species